AUUGAACGCUGGCGGCAUGCCUAACACAUGCAAGUCGAGCGAGCGGCGGACGGGUGAGUAAUGUAUGGGGAUCUGCCCGAUAGAGGGGGAUAACUACUGGAAACGGUGGCUAAUACCGCAUACUCUCGGAUGAUCCCAGAUGGGAUUAGCUAGUAGGUGGGGUAAAGGCUCACCUAGGCGACGAUCACUAGCUGGUCUGAGAGGAUGACCAGCCACACUGGAACUGAGAAACGGCCCAGACACCGACGUGAGGCAGCAGUGGGGAAUAUGGCACAAUGGGCGCAAGCCUGAGUCAGCCAGGCCGCGUGUAUGAAGAAGGCCUAAAGGUGGUAAAGUACUUUCAGCGGGGAGGCGUUACCCGCAGAAGAAGCAACGGCUAAAUCCGUGCCAGCAGCUGCGGUAAUUC
rnacentral:rRNA from 1 species